rnacentral:tRNA from 1 species
GGGCCCGUAGCGUAGUUAGGAUAUCGCGGCGGUCUUCGGAACCGCAGAUCGUGGGAUCGAAGCCCAUCGGGCCCG